rnacentral:lncRNA from 1 species
CUAUUUGCAAAAUCUUCCUAGGGAAAGAGAAAAUCAUACUGUGGGACUGUUGCAGGAAUCUUUGAAGGUUGAAGAUUGAGAUUUUAAGUGGCAAGUUGAAAUGCUGACAUUUCAUUGUGUUGUUUUAAGGAUGAUUCAACCCCAGCAAGUGCAAAUUGUCCAAUAUCAUGUCCUUCAAUUGCCUCGAAUUCCUUCUCUAAGCCAACAGCAAACUCUUCAGGACAUGCUCCAUCACUUUGUAAAUAGUCUGCAAUCUACAUCAUUAAAUCCACAACAUUUCUUCAUUAAUCUCUAUGUCAAAAGCAAAGGAUUCAUGAAGGAAACCAAACAGCAAGGAAAAAUAAAUAAAUAUAUAUAUAGACAUACAAAUAGAUGUUACAUCUAUAUAUAUGCACUUUUAAGCAACAUAUUUGUUUUGGUCAGAUAGCCUCAGCUAGUGCAGUCUGGUAUAACCCGAAUCAGAACUUAGGUUAGAUGAAAGCUUUUUUGAGUUUGCUAUCAAAAAACAGAAAUAAACAAACAUCACAAUUGGCACUUACAUGAUUGGCAAGAGCCAUGCCACUUAAAGCAGCCGACUCUAAAUUCGAUCCCAAUAACCAAUCGCCGCAGAUACCGGCCCUUCCAUGAGGAUCGAAAAUACAUGGGAUACCUGGAGUGUUGGUCGGAAGAGCCGCACCCCUGCAUGUCCUCAGACCAGUGGGAGAAAUUAAUUCAAAAAAUUGCAAGGCAAAUCUCUGUUUCAAAUACUAACUAAUAUUUCAAGCAUGUUAGCCCUUCUUUAUUUGAUCAUUAACAACAGGCAAUUCUGGAAUCCAAGCAGGUUAUAUCAAUCAUAAUUGAAAAAACAAUAAUUUAUGCACAAGUUCAGACAGAGUAUGUUACCAUAGCUGAACUCUACUGUAAAUAGGUCUCGGAAGUGAUCCUUUUGGUAGUCCAAGUGCCGCUUCAACACCCUCAAGCAUGCUUGUUUUCACCUUUUCCGCUGUUUGACUUGGUAUAUUUUCCUGGUAAUGCAAUUCGGAAAACUUAUACAUAUCUGACAAAACCCCCCAAACUACUAUAGUUUCAAACACAAUAUAACAGUAAUAUCACCAAGGUUCAACAUAAAGCGGGAUAGUCCACGAGAAUCACAAAGCUUUUCAUCGGUCCAAAACUAACCUGAGGAACCUUGUUUUGUUUUCCAUAGGCUGCGGUGCUGAAAAAAGUCCAACAGUGAGGACCAUUACCCUGAGAACCCAAAAGCUUCAGUGAAUUGUUUGCCAUCCAAGAUACGGAAUCAACUCCCUUAACAAAAGCUCCUUGAAAUGUCACGUUACCAUCUCCCAUAGGAAGGUGAUGCUCGAAUGCUGCAAGAAGUGCCCAUAUUGAACUCAAAUCUAGCCUCUACAAAAAAAAAAAAAAAAAGUUGAGAACAUAUGGCUCCAGCAAAAAUGAGAAUAUAUCCAAUAACAAGAACAAUAUACCUUCAUUUGUCUAGCAAUUAGAGGUAAUCCAGAUGAAGCAAGCAAGCGAUUUGCACAUUUUCCUGUGAAAUACAAGAAGCCAUGUCACACGGACUUGGGUGUGAUUGUUGGAUACGGGUAUGAGUCAAAAACAGGUAUGUUCGAAAAUGUAUUUUGAGGGUCAUGUCCCUGUACCAUGUCCGAAAAUGUCUAGCAAUCAUUGAAUUGCAUGUAUGUUUAAAAAGAUCAUACAAAUUAUGCAGCAAAAAAAAAAUGUUAUGAUAAAGAAUCAUACCCUUCAUCCUUCUUACCCGAAUAUCAGUGGCAAGAUCUUGAGUACUGUCCUAUAACCUAAAUGGUUGGCUUAUUUAGCUUUUAAGCCAUCCUUUUGUAUGCAUACACUUUUUUAUUCCUACCAAAAUAGCUUGCUUCUAACCAAGCAUACCUUGAUUUGCCCCCAAACAAAUACCUAAAUAUGUCAUAAUGUGAGAUCGUUACUUAUUAUCUAGAGGUUUAUCUGCAUGGUCAGCCCUAUCUAGAUCUUGACUGUAACAACAAUAGUAAAACGACAUUCACAGCUCAUUCAGUGCAUGCAUAAAAUUAAAUCAUAACCCUCUUACCAUAAAAAUCGCAACAUAACACUCCUGAGCAAAUUUGAAUUGAAAAAAAUGGGACAGAAGAAAAAGACAUAACUGUUGAGGCACAAUAUUACCAUUAUGAGCAAUAACAAUUGCAUCAAAUUCUCCACGAGGUUUUCCAUUCUCGCUCAAGUGCCACAUCCCGUUAAAUGGCUCGAGCUUACUUAUCCAACAAGGUCUCACUACAUUGACCAUAGAAGUCUGCACCAAGCAUCAAACUUACUCAGAUAUAACCACUGUUAAAAUGUCAACCCAAUUAAGCACUUGAGACAAUAGGGUCCAAUAAUGAAAGGCACCACUCUAGACAAUUAGUAAUUUAUUUGUUUCACAAAGUAUAACCUUUCCAUUCGACUAAUAAUAAAGCUUUAAAAAGAUCAGAAUAAGCAGCAAGAACGAAAAUGAAGGUGAUCACCUCAGAAAGCAAUGAGUCGGCUAAAGGGCGCAUCCCAUUGACACCUAUAAACCUUGGUGGUGAUGAAGGAAGAGGAAUAAACCGGCCACCUAAUUCAAGCUGACCAACUAAACCUUGCCAUUCUCGAACCAAGCCUUUCUCCAACCAAUAAUCAACUAGCUUGGAAAACCGAGAAUCACUGACAGUAAAAAACUGAGCAGCAUGGUCAAAUAUAAGUUGUUGAGGAUCAAUGACUCUAGUUCCCAUUCUUCCUCCCAAACCAUGCAUUCCCUUUUACGGCAAAAGACAACAAGAAACCACAUCACUUGCAAUUAUCCAAACUACAUUAUGCAAUGUUAAUGCAAAUGGUUGAACUUCUAAACUUGUCCUCCCAUAACUAAACUAUUGAGCAUUAAAAAGAAGAACGGUACCGGAAAAUCACAUGAAAGGGUUGGAUUAUAUUAGCUUAGGCAUGCCAAAUUCACAAUUUAAUUUCAUUGAAGACUGGAGUUUCUCUUAACAGAAGAAGAAUAUUUGAGUGCAAUGAAUACACAAACAAAAAGAAGCCUUCUCUUCUUCUGUCAUAUGACAAGAAAUUUAGAGACAACUAUUCAUCACAGAGAUUAAUUGAGCAACUCCAAAGUUAAAUUUAUGCAUGAGUUCUAAAACAUACUAACAAAAUGAAUUUCUUUCUAUAAAUUAAAUGCAGUGUUUUUAUUCAAAAAAAAAAAAAUCCAAUUGUCAUAUACUCAUGUAGGGAAAAGAAAAACAUUAUUACAAGAAAAGAAACAUUUUUUAAUUCAUUGAUCAAAACACCCUAAAGAACAACAAUAACCCAAAUUAAAGCAGCACGAAAGGUAACCAAAGGAACCAACCGUGUCAAAAACAGUGGACUUAACACCUCUUUUCUCCAAGCUCAAAGCACAAAGAAGACCAGCCAUUCCUCCACCAAUAAUCCCCACCUGAGGGUCAGCUGAAACACCAGCAGUGAACUUGACCUGCUCCUGAGUGAAGGUUUUCUUGAGAAUUGACCUCCUAGAAGUCCCAUAUGGUGUUCUUUUCCUGUUCCUUGAAGUGGGUCUUUGUGGGUUUUUGGAGGGUUUUUUGGGUUCUUGUGAACUGCAAAUUAUGGUUAGAGGUUUUGGGGGUUUAAAGGAUUUCUGGGUUUUGAGAGGAAACAGAAAUGAAGAAGAAAAACUGGGCAGAGCCGAAGGUGCCAUUGUUUCUUUUUCUUUUUGGAGGGAGCGACAACUAACAACAAUCUUUAGUGUCUUAUCCUAUUAUACUAUGUACGUACAUACAUACAAAUAUAUCAAUUUUCACUUAAUUUUCAAUUAAAUAGAUAACAAUUAUGUCAGUUUACCGGCCAUAAUCACUUAAUUUUCAAUUAAAUAGAUAACAAUUUCGGAUAAUCUUAAUUCGAAAAGUGAAUUUAUAGUCAAAGUGAACCAAAAGCACCCAUGUUGAUAUUGCGACAAUCAACUGGUUUUCGAGGGAAAAUUUUCCUGUUUUUAUACUUUAUGAGAGAUUGUUAUGGUUAAAGAAAACCUAGCAUGAAAAUUAAAAGGGAAUUGGAGUCAAUCCAAAAGAAUAUAUCAGAUGAAAACAAGGCAUUUCAUUAACAUUAGGGUCAUUAACUCUUCCAUAUAUAUGACAAGAAUUGUGACAAUAUAACUUAUACAACAUGUACAUUUCACAUCAACCCAAACCCACUAAGAGAAACCAACUCAUCACUGCAGAAAAUGAAACGGGCUACUUUUCUUUCAGGACUUCCAUAUGGGCACUACUGAAACUUCAAGACCAUUUCCCUGCUUGGAGAGUUAGUUAAGAUCCUGGAGAUUUUCAUGAAUGAACAGUGAUGUUAGUUGCUCUGCUCGGUGAUUUUUGUCGGAGCGGUUUUUGUCAUCUCUUUUUACUGUUUUGCUUGAUCUUUCACCUUGUGAGUCCCAUUGCUGUUGCUGUUCUGUCCACUGACCUGGAUCUUGCUUUUGACCAUAUUUGCAGUAGUGGGCAAGGGCGAAGCGAAAAUAAUUUUUUAGGGACCGGAUGAAAUUGUAAUUUUUUAUAGUUUAUAUCUUUAUAAUUUGUAAAAGAUUAAAUAUAAUUUUUAUAAUUUUAGGAGGGUUAAAGUGAAAUUUUACUUUUACUAAUUUAAAAUUUUUUAAAAAUUUAAGGGCCUAAAUAGUAAUUUUACUUUUUAGGAGGAGGCUGGGGCCCAUGCCAACCCCCCUUCUUCGCCCUUGGUAGUGUUGCCCUUCGUUACCUAAGCUGUAGCGGUUAGUUCGGGAGCAAGCUUUUGCCUUUUCAACUUGAGUUAAGGGGACUAAGUCACCGCAGCUCAUUCUCCAGGUAAGUGUUAAUUUGGAUGACAUUUUGUGUCUAAUUUGGUUUAUUUUGGAAUUGAUCCCUGCUGAAUUAGUUUUUUUUUUUAUGUUUCACUCUUGUCAGGGAUGCAAUUGGAACGCUAAAAGUAAAAAACAAGCUAAAAAUAACCAAAUUGAAACACAAUCAUUGAAAUGGGGCCAAAUAAAAAAUAUGGAAAAAACUAAGGACUCAUCAAAUUUUUUGACUUUAUAAAAACCAAAAAAAAAUCUUAUUUUAUUUAAUUAAUUAAUUUUAUGUUAAAUUAGUUAAGGCUAAAAUUAGUAAAUUCUAUGUAUAUAAAUAGGUCUUAAUGUUCUUAAGAAGAUUAUCACCUAAUUCUACAUUUUGAUUUCAAUAUGAAAUUGAAUAGAAUUAUUUUCCUUUUUUUUUUCUUUCAAUUUGAGCGUGAGUAUUCUGCUGUUCCAUUUCCAUUCCUUUGUUCUUUCAAAAGUUAGUCUAAUUGUUUUCCAAGUACUUUUCCUUCUCAAUUUCCAUAUAGUUGGAGAAACGAGUAGGUCAUGCUGUAUUCAGAUCUCCGAGAACAAAUCAAGGAAGAAGUGAUCGGGUUUAAACAACCCAAACGGUUGAGGUUGUUAAUUCAAGUUGGGUUAUUCAGAGCGCAAGGCUGCCGAAAUCUUGAAUCAGGAACACAUGUAUCUCGGUUAGAUAAUCGGUAAGGGUUGGUUUGAAGGUCGUACCGGGACCAGCUACGAGAGAAAGAAUUUAACCGCUAUAACCAGCUUAUCAUUUGAAGGAGAAGAUCAAUUUUCGAGGAUUGAUUCUUAAUCUUUGAUUACAAAAUCUGAAUUUAAUUUCCAACUUGAUUUCUAAUUUAAUUAAUUAAUUAUUUAAGUUGUUUCAAUUACUUAGUUUCUAAACAUUCCAAACUCCCCUGAUUUAUUUGUUUAUUUUCUUUAUAGGUCCAUUUGGAGUCGUGGACAUGACUUUUGCCACGACUUUCGACACGACAAAAAUUCUGAUCACAAGUUAAACGCGGAAGUUGAUUAUAAUAUCCAAUCCCUGUGGACUCGACCCUACUAACACUCUUUACUACUAUUUAGAAUUAUUUUUAUAGGAAUUAUUUUUGGUGGUUUCGAUGCCCAUCAGUAAUGAUAAUUUAGUAAUUUUCUUGACUGAGUUGGUGCCAAAUUGAUAAAUACAUAUUUCAAUUAUUUUUUGUUUAUGAAAAAAAAGUGUAUUUAAUAAAUUCAUUACCAGUGAUUGACUAUUAACUUAGCUGGGAUUGAUUGCGUAUUAAUAUACAAUAGAACUCAAUUUGAUGUUAGGUAAUAAGAAAUAAAAAAAUGGCAAAGCUAAGAACAUAUAAUCAUAUAUUAUAUGUAAGCAAUCAUACGAUGCCUAUAUUGCGUCAGCCACAUAACAUAACAUUGGGUUUGGAUAAGAAAGAAUUAUGAAAUUAAGAAGGGACUUGAAGAUUAAAAGUACACAAUGACAGCCACUUCCAAUUAUUAUUAUUAUUAUUGACUUUGUGGGUCAUAAAUUAUUUUUUGAAAAAAUAAAAUAAUAAAAUUUAAAAAUUUAUAAUUAUAUUAAAAAUUUUAUCACAUGCGUAUGUGUAUAAAAACCAUAUAGUUGCAUUUAUUUAUUUAUUUUCUUAUUCUUAUUCUUAUUCUUCUUAGCUUUGGAUUUGUCCUAUGGUUUGAUUUGGGGAGAUAGGAAUUAUGUUCCAUCUAUAAAUUGGUGGUGUCUUAAGCUCAAAGUGAGUGGCAAAGCUUCACCUCCCUAUUCAUCCCAUCAUUUUGGUACUCUCUUUUCUUUCACUCUUUAUUAUCACUUCCUUUGCUUUUUUAUUUUUUGUUUAUAUUCUUUGGGGGAAACCCAAAAUCAUGUGAAAAAAAAAGAGCUUUAAUUAUUCUUUGACUUGAUACCAUACACUAAUAUUCUUAUAUUAUUGAUUGAUUUGUUUCUGUUGAUAAUGCCAUAUUAUUAAUUAGUAAAAUAUAGAUGUUUUUUUAAAAAAAAAACCUUCCAUCAAAAUCAUUUAGUAAUUUGAUUGAUAGUAUUCACAGAAGAGCAAAAAAAAAAAAAAAAAACCAUCAAAAUCAUUUCAAAAUCCCAUAUAUAAUCACCCACAUAUGUUUUUCCUUUAAUGUGCAGUGUUAUAAUGGCCUCUGGAAGUGAAUACUUCAACCGUUGCGGACCCAAAUACCUUAGCAAUAUCGACUGGAACAACGCCCACCAUCGAAGGUCUGUAUCAGCCAGCUUGGUUGAAGGUGUUUACAUGCUUGAAGAAGAUCGACAAGCCAGACGCGGAGGGAGUUUUUCAACUUCAAAGUGGUUAAUGCACUCAUUGAUGUGGUUAAUGCACUCAUUGAUGACAAUGAUAAAAGCAUCUUCGGUGCCAUUUUCGAAUAUAAACCUUCAGCUUAUUCGUAUCAUCGUUCGUUGGAUCGAAGCCCUCGGUACGUAAUCGCCUUUCGAGGUACCUUAAUCAAGUUAGAAUCGUUUGCAAGAGAUCUUAAGUUGGAUAUCGAUAUAAUUCGAAACGGACUUCAUCAUACUGGUCGUUUUAGGACCGCCAUUAAAGCUGUUCUAGAUUUGGUGUCAGUGGUUGGGUCUUCAAAGGUGUGGUUAACCGGUCAUUCCCUAGGUGCAGCCAUGGCAAUGCUUGCUGGAAAAAACAUGGCGAAAAGAGGGAAUUUCUUGGAAGCAUUUUUGUUUAAUCCGCCAUAUGUAUCUCCCCCUAUUGAGAGAAUAAAAAAUAAGAAAGUGAGGCAUGGACUUCGAUUUGCUGGCACUUUAAUCAAAGCUGGCAUUGCAUUUGCAGCUGCUGCAAGUGAUAAUCAUAACAAUUCAAAUGGUAUUCAAGAUUCAUCUUUUGCUGCAAUAUCUGGGUGGAUUCCAUGUCUGUUUGUGAAUCAUUUAGACCCCAUAUGUUCUGAAUAUAUUGGUCACUUCAAGCAUAAGAAAAAGCUUGAAGACAUUGGAGCUGGGGGUCUUGCAAGGCUAACAAGCCAGCAUUCACUAGGGAAUAUGGCAAUGAAUGCAGUGGGAAUAAAGGGUAUUGACACUUCGGAACCACUUCAUUUGCUUCCUUCGGCAAAUCUGGCAGUGAAUCUCUAUCCUUGCCAAGAUAUGAUUUCUGCUCAUGAGCUUCAUCAAUGGUGGAGGCCUGAUCUGAACUUGAGUUGCAGUGUUUACAAGUACAAAUAGUUUGUCGCUGUCAUGGCUGCUGCAUGAUCUGCCAUCGGUUAUCUCGGGGAAUGUAUUAAUAUUAUUACAGGGUUUACAACUAUAAGCUUCCAAAAAAAGAAAAAGAAUAAGUAAUACUGGCUUGUAGUAAAUCCUAAAUAAAUUUCCUAGAAUUUAAGCCUUAGUCUGUCCUGUCUUUGCUUGGUUGAGUUUAAUGGAAAUGGUGAUAAAAAAAGCCUUUUGUAAUUUAUGUAUUUAUUUAUUUUAUAAUGAGGUAGGUGUUGCUUUCCGGAGACACUACACCAAAACAGGCUUUUAGCGGCGUUUUUAGUGGCGUUUGGAUAAAAAACGCCGCUAAAAAUCAAGUAUUAGCGGCGCUUUAGAAAAAACGCCGCUAAAGAUCUAGUAUUAGCGGCGUUUUUAGGAAAACGCCGCUAAAGAUCCAGUAUUAGCGGCGUUUUUAGGAAAACGCCGCUAAAAAUGAGCAUUAGCGGCGCUUUCCAAAAAGCGCCGCAAAAAACCUAAGCACAACGAUGUUGUUUUUUGAGUUUUCGGGGCGUUAGCGGCGUUUUUUAAGAAGCGCCGCUAAUGCUCUGGUCUUUAGCGGCGUUUUUUAGGAAGCGCCGCUAAUGCUCCGGGCUUUAGUGGCGUUUUUGAAGAAACGCUGCUAAUGCUCUGGUCUUUAGCGGCGUUUUUGAAGAAGCGCCGCUAAUGCUCUGGUCUUUAGCGGCGUUUUUUGAAAAGCGCCGCUAAUGCUCAGGUCUUUAGCGGCGUUUUUUAAAAAGCGCCGCUAAUGCUUAGGGCUUUAGCGACGUUUUUGAAAAAGCGCCGCAAAAUUUUUUUUUAAGUUUUUUGGAUACAUUAUUUAAAAUACUAUUAUUUAAAAUAAUUUUUAAGUUUUUUGGGUACAUUACUGAAUGUUUUUUAAUUUACAUAUUAAAUAAUUUUGCUAUCUAUGUCUGAUUCUUGUUAAUAUUUGUGAUUCCAGCUAGCAUUGAUAAGUAGUAGAUCUUCAUAAGCAUUGGUUAAUUCACAAAAGACUUGCAGUGCUUGAGUAUAUGAGGUUCCUAUAAGUGAAAUAAAAAAUAGUAUAACUAUCUCAAAGUUUUAAGUGUCUAUGACGUGUUUGAUAUUUAUAUAUUAAAAAUAUCUUAUAUAAUCAUAAAAGAGAUAGUAUUAAUUUUAAAAUAUUGAAUUAAUUAUCAUUAUAGUUUAGGGAUUAUGGGUUUAGGGAUUAUUGUUUAUGAUUUGCGGUUUAAGAGUUGGGGUUUAAAGUUUAGGGGUUUAUGAUUUAGGGGUUUAUGUUUUAUGAUUUAGGGUUUAGGGGAUAAAGGUUAAAGAUUUAGGAUUUAGGGUUUAGAUUAAUUAGUUUUUUUAAUUUAUAUAUUAAAUAAUUUAUUAUAUAAUUGUAAAAGAGAUAAUAUUAAUUUUAAUAUAUUAAAAUUAUGAUUAUAGUUUAAAUUAUUUAAGAGAUGAUAAGUAAACUUUAUAUAUAUUAAAUGAAAUUUUAUAUAAUCAAUUAAUGCUUUUAUAUUUAAAAAUAUUUAAUCUAAACCAUUUUAUAUAUCUAAAUAUUAGAUUUAAAAAAAAAGUGAUAAAUAAAAAAAUAGUUAAAAUUUUUAGCAGAGCAAAACGGUAUCAUUUUAUUUAAAAUAAAAUAAUAAAAAAGUAAAAUGUUAGUAAUAGCGGCGUUUUUUAUAAAAACGCCACAAAAUCGUUUUACUUUAAAAAAAAUUGCGCCUUUUUUUCUCUAAAUUCCCCCCUAAAACCCCUAAUUUUCCCCCCUAAAAUUUGUAUCCUCAAAACACCCUUUAGGUGUUUCUAUCCGCCACCACGCCUUCAUCAUCAUCAUCGUUCCCUACUUUUGCUACUUUAAGCUCCUCUUCUUCUCAACCACCGUCUUUGUUUUUCUCUUGUUUAUCCAGUCGGUGUAUUUUUCAGGAAAAUCCAAAUUUUUCCGAAAGAUUUCCCGACCGACGAUUAUUCCAUCUUUAUCUUUUCGUCAAAAUCUCGAAAAUCAAAACAAUUCCGGUGUUUUUGUUUUUGAAGCUAAAGAGUCAUCUUGUUUUCCUUCUCCUAAUCGCUUGAUUUUGCCGCUAAACCUCUUCUGAUUUUGCAGCUAGGUACACUGUGAGAUCUUUUGGAAUCAGGCGUAAUGAGAAGAUUGCUUGCUACGUGACUCUGAAUAUUUCAAGUACAAAAGAUGAAAAAUAAAGAAGAAUCGUUUCAAGUACUCAUCUAUCUUUUUUUUCCUUCUUACUUUCACUUUUUAGGGUCUGAAAUUUCUUGAACUUUUUUCAAUUUAGUCGAAUCUGAACUGCACUAUGGAUGCUUAUCUGUAUGCAAAUCAAAAUAUUAUAGUCUAUAAGUUUAAAUCGGUAUAAAUAAAUAUNNNNNNNNNNNNNNNNNNNNNNNNNNNNNNNNNNNNNNNNNNNNNNNNNNNNNNNNNNNNNNNNNNNNNNNNNNNNNNNNNNNNNNNNNNNNNNNNNNNNUGUUUGCCUUAUAAAUAAAUAUAAUCGGUAUAUUUAUAAAUAAAUAUAAAUCGGUGUACACGGGAUCUACCAUAGUUGGCGCAGGAAUACCUUUGCUGUUAUUAUCAGAGGUCCACAAAUUGUUUUGCCUUUGUUUCGUUUUUCGUUCAUCUAUUCCAACAACAUAUUGAACAAUAAUUGCUUGCGUCACAGUUAUUUCCAAUAAAUGUAAAAGGUUCAGCAGGAAGCAUAUGUAAUUUUAUGGGCAGUUUCAUUGGUUGGGUUGUUGCAUACUACUUUAACUUCCUACGUGAAUGGAGCUCAACAGGUGAUUCAUGCCUUGUUCAUUUUUGUCAUAAUAUUUCUCAAGCGUCUUUUAUCUUACAAAUGACUGCAUUUCUUUUGGCAUUGUUUCAGGGACAUUCUUUAUAGUUUCAGCCUUUUGCUGUGCAAACUUCAUCCUAUUAGCAAUAAUGGUGCUCGAGACUAAAGGACGAACACUGGAGGAAAUACAAGCAUCAGUUAGUCAUUCUUCAGUUUGACAUACCAUCAGCAAUUUGCUUUAAAAUUUGAUCUGUCUUGCUGGGUUUUUGUGCUGUGUCUUUGCAGAGUAUCGGGUAGUCCUUUCAAUUCUUAGCCAUGGCAGAACAGGUCCACAUUCCUCUUUCUCUGCCUUUUAUCUGUCUUAUUUUUAUGUGUUGAAACUGCUUUGAUCUUUCUUUUUAUUUUAUAUUAGACGGAGAAAGCAUUUCUCAAACACCCCAAGGUGUUUUUAAGGUGAACUAGCUUCUUCCAUGUCUUUAUUAAUUCUUGGUUUUGUUGAUUUCAUUUUUAGAUUAUUGUUUUCCCCCCCUGUUAAAUUAUGAAUCCAUCUGUUACAAAUCUGUUUUGCAUUGUUCAUCAAAUAACAUGCACAAAUAAUAUUAUUUGUAUAUAUUUUGAGGAAAAUUAUAAUAUUAUUAUAUAUAAUCAAUGCAAAAUUUUUAAGGCACCUUAUUAAAUACGAAAUUUAUAGGCACGAAACUAAGAAUGAUUGAAGCUUCUGCAAACUUUUUUGUUGUCAACAUGGCGACUUUAGCUUUCUCAGCAUCAAUAAUUACUGAACUGUUAACCUUAAUCUCCUCAAAAUCACAUUCCUUAGCAAGCUUCAUAACUAGCUUAACGACACACUAAUCUCUUAAAAGCAAAGAAUUUAAUUGAAGUUCAUAUUUUUGCAAGUUAAAUUUAGUAGAGUCUGUCAUCAUUCAUUGUGUGGUUAUUUGUGUUUUUCGGCCACUGUAUGUUGUUUUUGCUUUUUCCUUUUGUGGUGCUUUGUCGCACAGCACUUGGGCUACAUAUCCCCACGAGUUUGAAGACUUCGCUACUAAAAUUCUGUGGAAGGCAAAUUUCUCUAUAAAUUAUGAAAUUGUUCUAAAAGAAAAGAAAAAAGCUUAAAAUGUGAAAAAAAAGAACUCAUCAAACUGUUCUUUUUUGAACAUUAAAUACCUCUGCUAGUAAUUUUGGAUACCGCUUCUUUGCUUCCAAUCAUACCUUGUUUAUUUCUAUUCCAAUUAGAUUACAUGUUUUUUAUUACUUCUUAUCUACAUGUUUUUUAUUCAAUUAUUGGAUAUUCUGUUUGAUUCCGUGUUAAAAUGUGGAAGGUGUUACUGGAUUAUGGAUUGGCAUUCUGUAACUAUUUUCCUUGACAAACUUAGAAAUAAAGCAAUCACAUUCACUAUUUUUCAAGCCUUUCAAGCCACUUGCGUCUUACUCCUCUAUGUUGAAUCAAAUUGAGGAAUUGCUAAGUGCUAGAGACUAUAAAGCUGCCAUGCAGCUAUCAGAAAAUCUAAGAAGCUUGGCACUGAAGGGACUUCAUUAUUUUCAAACUUUUUGAGGAUUCACUUCGGCUUUCUCUUCUGUUUUUGCUUCUUUGAUUCAGCUAAUAGGUGCGUUACUAUAAAAGUCCCUGCUUUGUGCCAUACCUGUUUAUUUAUUGGGUUUUUAACCAUGAUUUUAAACUUUUAACUAAUUUUAAAAAAAAUUGUUGAUUAGAUAAAUUUAGAUUAUCUGAUCAUUGAAUCUAUAUGUUGUUGGGCCGCCCAGAAAAAAAANNNNNNNNNNNNNNNNNNNNNNNNNNNNNNNNNNNNNNNNNNNNNNNNNNNNNNNNNNNNNNNNNNNNNNNNNNNNNNNNNNNNNNNNNNNNNNNNNNNNNNNNNNNNNNNNNNNNNNNNNNNNNNUGGAAUAUCAUGUUCAAAUAUUCUACAAAGAAGCUAAUUAGGAGAUUCUGCAAUUGUUGAUGGUAAUUGGGAUUUAAGAAUAUAGGCUUAAGGGUUUAAUUGGAAUUUAAGCAUGAUAUGUUUCAAUAUUUUAAAUUUAUAUUGAUGAAUACUUUCCACCUAUAUUAACUUAAGUGAGUAGAUAUAUCAGUAGUGUACAUUUUUUUAUUCCAUAAACAAUCUUAAAAAAUUGAGAUAAUUUUUUUUUUAGAUGUAUUUGUUAAUAAUUUACUAUAACAUUAUAAAACAAAUCCAAAAAAGUUGAACCGAUUUACUUAUCUUUGCCAUGUUUACUAUGGUUUGAACAGAUUAAGUUAUUUUUAUUUUCAUGCAGAGCAUGUAGAUACCAAAUUUGCAGUUCAAAUUCGAAGUCAUGCUCAAAAGUUUUUCUCUAAGGCUCAUUGCUUUGAGUUCAUUACAAGAUUUCCUUGAUUAAGUAAAUGUAUUGUAUAUUUUAUUACCUUGCAUAUGUAUUAUUUAUUUUAGUUUUGAUUCUAAAUUUUUAUUUUUACUUAAGUGUUCUAACUUUUGGAUUUUAAUUGUGUUAUUAAUUUAUUAUUUUAAAUUUUAAAUUAAAAUUCAUUAAUUUUUAUAUUUAUAUUUAGUUUUAAAGUUAAAAUUUUCGUAGAAAAUUUAAUUUAAAUAAUAAUUUUUAUUUAUCCUUAAAACAUAAUAUAAUAUUUAUCAUAGAAAUAAAUAUUAUUUGAAAAAAAAUUUAUUUUUUAAAAGAUAUAUUUUAGCGGCAUUUGUGUGAAAAGCGCCGCUAAAGGCCUAUUCUAUAGUGGCGUUCUUCAAAAAAAGCGCUGCUAAAAGUCAUGAUCUAUUGCGGUAUUUGUGGAAGAAGCGUCGCUAAAGGUCAUGGUCUUUAGCGGCGUUUAUGAGAAAAGUGCCGCUAAAGAUCAUGGUUUUUAGCGGCGUUUAUGGGAAAAGCGCCGCUAAAGAUAAUGGUCUUUAGCGGCGUUUGUGAAAAAGCGCCGCUAAAGGUCAUGACCUUUAGCGGCGUUUAUUUCUAAAAAUGCCGUAAAAGUUAGCGACGCAUUCAAUAGCGGCGUUUUUUGCCGCGCUUGUCAAAGCGCCGCUAAAGGCCUGUUUUGGUGUUGUGAGAGUAGUUUAUAGUUAAUUUGUUUAGGGGUUUCAUUCCUUUAUUUUACUAAAAAAAGAAGCAGCCUUUUGUAUGUAUAUUAGCCAAAAGCUAAAGUGUGUAAGGAGGUCAAUUUUCAAAGGAUUUUUCGCAUUUAAACACAUUUAAAUUCAUGAAUUUUAAGUCAUUAUAAUAAUAAUAGUCUCCAACUCAUGCCACCACUGAAGAAAUAUUUAUAAAAUACACAACGCAAUGUAGUUAAUGGCUUCUGGAUGAACUUCAUGAUUUGUUAUCGGUUUUUUUACCUGAGGGAGCAACCUGAUCUCACCAAGGGAAUUAAAGCCUCUAUGUUUGAUGAAGGUAGUGAGAAAAAAGUACUAGGGCUUGAUGGCUUCACUUCACAUUUCUUUAAAUUUGCAUGGCAUAUAGUUGGUAAUGAUCUCUCUAACGCAGUUAAGUUAUUUUUUGAGUGCUUGAGGAUGCUUCCAGCUUUUAAUGCUGCUACUGUUGUCUUAGUCUCUAAAGUGUCUAAAUCUUAAUCAUGUUUAAGGAUUUUAGACCAAUCUCUUAUUCUUCAGUAGUGUACAAGUGUGUCACUAGAAUUCUUGUUAAAAGCAUCACUUCUUUUCUCCCUAAUUUGAUUUCCGCUAAUCAGAGCGCUGUCAUACAAGAAAGGUGUAUUACUGUUAAUACCUUGUUAGCUUAGGAGAUUGUAAGAGGUUAUAACAGGAAGAACUUGUCCCUUAGGUGGGCAAUGAAGGCGGACCUGCAAAAAGCUUUUGACACACUCAAUUGGGGGUUUUGUGCUUGAUGUUUUGACUGCCAUGGGAUACCUAGAUCUUUUUGUAGGGUGGAUAAGAGCAUGGCAUUACUACUCCAAUAUUUUCUAUCUUUCUAAAUGAUGGUCUGGUAGGAUUUUCAAAGGCACUAGAGGCAUCAGUCAAGAGGCGCACUGUCGUCUUACCUAAUUAUUAUUGCCAUGAAUGUUAGGAAUAACUACUAUUAGUUACUGUUAGUUAGUAAGUUGUUAACAGUUUCAGUUAGUUGAUUCUCUUGUAUUAAAUACAUGCCACUCGUUUUGAUUAACAACAUGAAGAGAAUUCCUUUCUACUUCCUGUAUUGUUGAAUAUUAUCAUGGUAUCAAGAGUAAAAAAUUCUGUUUGACAUAACAAAUUUUUUUCUUUUUCCUCUCAUUUCUCUAUUCAUGGCCACGGAGGCAGUACCAAAACCUGAUGCACCACGUCACUCUUCCUAUACAAGCGAAGUAGUCCAUUCGCAAGGCCUUGGCAGUGAUGGUUCAUCCACAGUUCACUAUUUUUCCAAACAUGAUAUAAUCAAGCUUGCUGAGCAUAAUUUUCUGUUAUGGAAGCAUUAACUUUUGCUGAUUCUUGAAGGCUAUGGUCUUGAAGGAUUUGUGCUGGGCACGAUUUCAAUCCCUCAUUCUUUUCUUGCAGGGACUGAUGGUCAACUUGUUGAGAAUCCCGCCUUUCUUGUUCAUAAGAAGCAGGAUAAAUUUCUGGCUUUUGUCGACUGUUACUGAUGAAGUUUUAGUUUACCUUACAGCAGCUAAAACAAGUUUUGACAUCUGGACCACCAUCGAAAGAAGGUUUGGCACCACGUCUAGUAUUAAAAUUUUGAGUAUGUGUCAUGCUUUGUACUCGAUCAAGAAUGCCAACUUCACCAUCAAAGAAUAUUUGAUCAAAAUAAAGAAUCUCAGUGAUAGCUUAACAGCAGUUGGUAGUUUGGUCACCGAGAAAGAACAAAUCAAUGUCAUCUUGGCUGGACUUUCUGCUGAGUAUGAGUCUAUUCGAGUUCUUGCUUCUGUAACUCCAAUCUCUUUGGAAUUGCUCACUGACAUGCUGCUUGACUGUGAGGUAAGACAACUCGCUCUAAUGGCAGAGGUUCCUAUGCAAGCAAAUUUGGUCACUAAACAUCAAGAUAGCACUCCUAAGCAAGGACAACGUGGGUCAGGCCGAGGCUAGUCUCGUGGCAAAACUCAAGGCACUGUGAGGGGUUGGUCCCACUCUAGGCCAUAGUGUCAGUUAUGUGGGAAGAUUUGCCAUCUUGUUCAAACCUGUUAUCAUAGGUUUGAUGAGAAUUUCUCUGGUAUUAGCCACAACCCUUCAGUCAACUAUCAUCAGGUUCAUAACACUACCUUUGCAUCUUUUCCUACUAAAUGCUCAUCCAUGGCUCAUUGUUGUGGCGCAUUUUCUCAUCCACCACCUCCCCAAGCUUUUAUUUCCGUCAUCUCCGAUCAGAUAUGGUAUCCUCAUUCUAGUGCAACGAAUCAUGUUACACCUGACGUGUCCAAUCUCACGACUACUUCUCCCUACAUAGGUACAAGCCAUGUCACUAUGGGAAAUGGUGAGCCUGUCUUCAUAGCUAAUGUAGGUUCAUCUACUUUCUUGGCUGGCUCCAGACUCUUGCGUCUGCAGAAUGUUUUACAUGUUCCUACAGUUUGCAAGAAUCUAAUGUCUGUGGGUCAGUUUGCUAAAGAUAAUGGUGUUUAUUUUAAAUUUCACCCGUUUCUGUGUUUUAUAAAGGGCAUCCAGACAGGGAUGAUUCUGCUAGAGGGACACAUGCAUUAGGGUUUAUAUAGGUUUCAAUUUUCAGAAUCUGCUCCCACCACUGUCAGUUCUGCCUUGAAACCUAGCUCACUUUGGUUGAACAGUGCUUAGAUUUCAUCCUCUUCUUUAUGGCACAACAGGCUUGGCCAUCAUUGUCAUAACACCUUAGCUCGUGUGUUGAAGUCUUGUAAAAUUCCUUUCAAACAAAGUAGUUUGCCUCGAAUAUGUACAGCUUGUCAGCUAGGCAAGGCUCACAAGCUCUCUUUGUCUUCUUCACAUAUAGUGUACUCUUCCCCUUUUAAACUUAUGGUAUCUGAUGUAUGGGGACCAGCUCAUAUACUUUCAAAUGGUUUCUCUUAUUACGUUUCUUUUAUCGACAUGUAUUGCAGAUACACUUGGAUUUAUUUUCUCAAAAACAAGUUUGAGGUGGUUCAAUGUUUUUUAAAUUUUCAUCAGCUAGUUAAAGUACAAUUUGGUCAUUCUAUUAAAAAGCUACAGACUGAUGGGAGAGAGAAUAUCAUGUCUUAUCAAAAGAGCUCUCUCAACUUGGUAUACAACACAGGGUCACAUGUCCCCACACCUCAGAGCAGAAUGGUAUCACUGAAAGAAAGCACAGACAAAUAGUUGAUAUGGGCUUGUCUCUUUUAGCUUAGUCUGCUAUGCCCUUAAAAUUUUGGUUUUAUACUUUUGCACGUGCAGUUUACUUAACCAACCAAAUGCCUAUUCCUGUUCUCCAUCACGUUAGUCCAUAUGAAGUACUUCACAAGCUUAAACCUAACUAUGGUCUACUACGGGUAUUUGGUGUGCUUGUUUUCCUGAUCUACGACCAUUUUAACAGCAUAAGUUACAAUUUAGAUCUCAAAGGUGUGUGUUUCCUAGCAGUGCUCCUAAUAGAAAAGGUUACAGAUGCCUUGCUGAAGAUGGUCGAGUUUUUCUAUCUCGACAUGUUCGAUUUGAUGAAACUUAGUAUCCGUUUCAUGAUGGUUUUUAUUCACAGUCUGUGCUUCUUCUGCACACACCUCCACACAGGCAGUCACAAGACCAGCUAGAGCCUCUCUUGUGGUUCAUUCCCUUGUACAAUCUCCUAGUGCUCACCCUCCUUCCAGUCCUUCCGCUGAUUUCCCAGCUGUAGCUGAUGUGCCCACCUCUUGUGAUCAGACUGAGUGUAAUACAACAGCUCCUACAAGCAUGAACGUCCACCUCAUGUAGACUCGCUCUAAAAAUGGCAUUUUUAAGCCUAAACUCUUUGCUUCUGUUUUGGUUGAGAAGGAACCCAUGACUAUAAUCGAAGCCUUUCAAAGCACAACUUGGACAACAGCUGCACAAGAUGAAUACAGUGCUUUGCUUGCAAGUCAUACUUGAGACCUUGUACCUUUACCUGAAGGUCGACGUGCUGUUGGCUGCAAGUGGAUCUUUAAGAUCAAGAGACAUGCGGAUGGUUCAAUUGCGUGAUACAAGGGCAUGCUAGUUGUUAAGGGUUACCUGCAAGAAGCUGGUAUCGACUUCCACAAAACCUUUGGCGCAGUCCUGUUGAAGAUGAACGUCAUUACAGGAGCAUUUUUGGCGCCUUAUAGUACGUGGUAAUCACUAGACCAGACAUUUCUUACUCCAUCAACAAGGUUUGCUAGUUCAUGCAUAAACCUUUGGACUUGCAUUUCAAAGCUGUGAAAAGGAAUAUUGAGGUAUUUACAAGGGACACUGAACUAUGGGUUGAGAUUCACUCAAGCUUCAAAGUUUGUGCUUGAAGGAUAUUCCGAUGUUAGUUGGGGGUCCGAUGUUGAUGAUCGCAGGUCAACCUCUGGCUUCUGUGUGUUUCUUGGAAGGAAUCUAAUUUCCUAGAGUUCAAGAAAACAGCAGGUAGUCUCUAGGUCUACAGCAGAAGUAGAAUAAAGAAGUGUCGCUCAUGUUACUGCAGAAAUGGUGUGGAUCCUAUCCUUAUUGACUGAGUUAUGUGUUCCAGUUCAGAAUAAUGCUUUGAUAUGGUGUGACAGCUCAACUGCGAUUGCGAUAGCAGAAAAUCCUGUUAUGCACUCCAAGUUUAAGCAUGUCGAAUUGGACUUGUUCUUUGUUAGAGAGAAGGUUGCAGAUAGGAAGUUCCAAGUAGGACAUGUACCUAGUUCCGAUCAAAUUGCGGAUAUAUUGACAAAACCAUUAUCAGUAGCAACGUUCACCAAGUUUCGGGAGCAACUUCUAGUCGUUGCCAUGAAUCAAGAAGUUUUUGACGGGAAGAAAAGUUGAUAAGUAUGGGGCAUGUUAGGAAUAACUACUAUUAGUUAUUGUUAGUUAGUAAGUUGUUAACAGUUUGUUAACAUUAGUUGAUUCUCUUAUAUUAAAUACAUGCCACUCGUUUUGAUUAACAACAUAAAGAGAAUUCCUUUCUACCUCCUGUAUUGUUGAAUAUUAACAAUGAACGGGCUAUUUAAAAUGCUGGAUGUGGUAGUCAAUGAGACAAUCUGUUGAUAUUUUUUAAGGGUACUAUAGGCUCAAUUGUGGGGAUUAAAAGCGUCAUUGACCAAUUUUACAUUUUGUCUACGCUGCAACUUAAAGCGUCAAAAGUGAGGUUUUUGCUAUUGGUAUUUCUCAAGAAGAGUUGGAUGCAAUUUAUCAUGUCACUAGAUUUCAGAUAGGGAAGCUACCUAUACCAUACUUGAGAAGAUUAACAAUAAGGGUGUUUUCCUUUAUUGGAGAAGAUUUCUGCUUGUAUUUCUUCUUGGAUGCAGGUAGAGCGUAGCUUGUUCAAUCGGUAAUCUUCCAUGUUCAAAAUUUUUGGUAUAGGCAAUUUAUUUUGUCAAAAGUUAUACUCCAACGUAUUAAUCAGAUUUACGCCUGCUAUUUUUGGAAAGGGAAAGAUGGGGCGACAAAGGGAGUAAGGGCAAGUAGGGGGAGAAAUUUGUAAGCCCAAAUUCGAAGGGGGACUUGGUUUAAAGAAUCUUAAGAUAUGGAUCCGUGCUAAUAUGAUGUUAGAUGAUCCAAGCCACUUUGGCUCUGGCUUUGGAUAGCUUGGAUGCAAGCUUAUAUUUUAAAAGAUCAAUAGUUGUGGCAGGUCACGGUGAAUGAUCUUGGAGUUGCGAGAGGAAGCUAGUUCUUGCUUAUACUUGCUGGUAGGUCAUGGUGAAUUGCCUGUGAAAAAGGACCGAGUCGAAAUUAGAAUGAAAGAAGGUAAAAUCCCUUGCCAUGAAAUUCUUUAGCAUCCACUACAUAUAUCGAACCAUUCUAUUGUUGCUUGGAUGGCGAUUCUGAACAGGUUACCAACCAAAAAGAGACUUUGGUCUAUGAGGCUUAAUAUCAACACUUGCUGCAAAUUGUGUAGUGGGCUGAGGAGACAAGGGAUCAUCUGUUUUUUUAUUGUGAGUUCUCGAAGGAAGUUUGCGGAGCAGUUCUUAAGCUUUGCAAUAUUAAUAGAAGACUUAGUUGUUAGAGUCAAGAACUCAGGUGGGCUAUCACAUAAAAAUGGGAAAUUGACAAUGAUUAAAAAUAUUGUACAAAAAUUAGAUUAAGGGGGUAAAACUAUUAAUACUUGUCAUUAGGCUUCUUCAAUACACCCAUACCUACUUUCUUUAAAUUUAAUGGUAUCAAUAUGCGAACAAUCAUAUUUUAAAGUCCUAGACAUAAAAAGAGGAGGAGCGUUCUAAGUAACACGAUGUGCAUAGAAUAAGGUGUAUUAGUAAGAUCGUGAGUUGCCUUAUUUAUAUCUUAAAAUGUGUUUAUUUGAAAAUUUUAAAAAUGAUCUUUGAAAAAAAAAUGAAAAUAUGUGAAAAUAAAAAAUAAAAAAAAAACUAUUUUCAUAGUUUUCACUAAAACUAAAAUAAGGUAUUUUUGUUUGAUUUUCACCAUAAAAAGUAAAAUUUUUAAAAAGGAUUUAUUUUUAUUUUUUCUGAACUUUUAAGAUUCAAGAUUAAAUUGAUAGAAUAUGUAAAGUUCAACACUAAAUUUAUUGAUUGUUUUAGAAUUUUGACCAAAUUGAUUGAAUCUGUAAACAUUAGGAGGCUAAAUUUGUUAUUAUACCAUAAGAAAAGGUCACAUCAAUAUUCUGUUAGUGAUUUAAUGAAAUAGUGACCAAAACAUCAAAUGUCGAUAACUAAAAUAAAAUUUUAUGGACCUAAUAAAAUAAGUACACGUUAAUAAUUGGGUAACUAUUAUAAGAAUUUUAUGAAAGAGACUGUAAUUUGAGAUGAAAAUUUAUAACCGUUAAAAUCUAAAUUUAAUUAAAAAUAAUUAUAUAACUCAAUUAAACUAAAUUUCAGAAUUUAUGUGACACAUCACUUCAUGUAGAGAUGCAUUUUGUAUUUGCAUAAGAACAUUACUUUCCCCUUCUAUUAUUAUUAUUAUUAUUUGAUUCUCUAUUAUUGGUUUCAAUUCUUCCUCAUUUAUUCCACUAUAAAAUUGUUUGAAAGUACUAUUUCGAAUUUCCAUAGAAUAAUUUUAUUAUAGAUUCUGAUCAUAUUUGUAUUUUUUAGUAUAAUAUUUAGAAUUACCCAUAGCCCUUACUCAACCCAUAAAUAAGAGGAUAAUGCGAUUGAAGUACACUCGAACUCACAUCAUCCUGUAUUGACAACAAUACUCAUACCAAUCGAAUUAAUACUUAAUUGACCUUUAUUCGUAAAAUUAAAAUAACAAAAAAAAAGCAAAUAAAUCAAAGGAAAGUAUAUAUGCCAAAGAUAACAUAGUACAAGCCUUCCACACGACAUUUCUACAUCGUCAUAUGCCCUAUGUCAUAUUAUAUUCUUUAAAUUUUCGCUCCCCAUAUAAAGAAAUUUUCUUCUCACUCAUCCAAUAUUAAUAUCGAAGAUUAUUAAAUGUAAAAUUCCAAGUUUAAUUCAAUUUCUACAUGUAAUAUAUGAAAUUAAUUUACAAAUUUAGAUUUAAUUUUCAGCAUUUACAAUUUAUAUUUUUUAAAUUUUCGACACAAGACUUGCAUAUGAAAAAUAAAUAAAUGCAUCAAUAAUUUAUAAUUAAUUAUUCUCUCUAUUUAUUUUCUAAUAUUUUUCGAGGUUGAUAUCAUGUGCAUAAAUUUUAGUCCUAUGGUUUCGAAAAGGAAAAAAAAAGUUUUACAUAAAAAAUCGAUAACUCAUCUAUUCUUUAUGUAUGCGUUUAAAAAAAUGUAUAUAUACGUGAUAAUAAUUGACACAUUAAUUGAUGUUAUGUAUUAAUUGGACAUCAAUUCAGUUACAAAAAAAUUAAAAAAUAUUUUUUUUAAAACAAUAAAUUUUAUUAUAAGAAUAUUUAUGUUUUUCCAUACUUUAUAAUUUUUUAAAUAAAUAGUUUAAAUUAUGAGAAAAGAUUGUAUGAAACUGUGAUAUCAGGUCAUCCUUAUCACUUUCUAAUAUUAGAAGAAAUGAAAAAUCAGAUUUUUCCUCUUGAUUUUUGGCUUUUUCCUCCUAGAAAAAAAAUUAAAUCCAACUAGAAAUGCUAAAAAUCAAGAGAAAAAAUUUGAUUUGUCAUUCUCUUAUUAGAAAGGGAUAAGGAUGAUAUGGAAUCACAGAUUCAUACAAUCCCUUCUCUUAAACUACAACUUUAAAAUAAAUUUAAAAAAUAGAUAAAUGUUAAGCUUGAAAUGUUGGUUUGAUUUUAUUAAGUUUUUCAUAGUGACUUGUGUAUUACGUAAUUCAAUAUAUAAUUUGUUAAUGUCAACUUGGAUCAACAGGGAUUUGGACUGGUAAUUGAGUUGUGAAAGUGAGAAGGCCUACAAGAAAGAAAUAAAGAAAGAUGAGUUAUGGGUAGCGGGAGUUAAUAUUCCAAUCGCUCUUUGAUUCUUAAGUUAAUGGUUUUUGUUUAGGAAAAAUGAAAAAAGGUACAAGAUGAUGAAUAGGUCACAUAGCCUGACCACACGAGUGUGUAAUAGAGUCACACAGGCCUGUCCCUUAGCCACACGGGCGUGUGACCCCUGCAUUUAGGAAAAAUUUUGAUAAUUCACGAAAAAUUUCCAAAGUACACGAUUAAGUCCCGAUUUAUUUUUAACGCGUAUUUUGGUCCUCGAGGGCCCAUAAAAGGGACGAUAUGUUUAAUUUAUGAUUUGUAUGCUAUUUGAUUUAUUUAUUAUUCGUAUUUGAUUUGAAAAGUUUGGUAAUGCUCUAUAACCCUGUUCCAGCGACAGAUAAGAGUUAAGGGGUGUUACACAAAAAAACCAUCACAGUUUUUCUUAAAGUAAACACAAUUGUCAAAGCUACUUCUUUUGAAAUCAUGAGAAGUCAUAAAGGAAUCAAACCUCUUGUACCAUUGUUUUAGUGAUUGUUUCAAAUCGUAAAGUGGCUUUUUCAGCAAACAAACAUAGUCCUAUUUUUCUGAGACUGUAAAACCCUCUGGUUGUUGCAUGUAAAUAUCCUCCUCAAGUUCUCUAUGUAAAAACAUAGUUUUUACAUCUAACUGCUCAAGCUCCAAAACAUGCAAGGCCACAAUACUAAGCAAACCUCGAAUCAAACUAUGUUUCACAACUGGGGAGAACACAUCUAUGAAGUCCACUCUUGGAAUUUGACUGUAACCCUUUGCAAACUUUGCUUUAUAUCUAGGUUCUUCAAUUCCUGGAGUCUCUUCUUUCUUUUUAAACACUCAUUUACAACAAACAACCUUUUGACCUUUAGGAAGUUUCACAAUAUCCCAUGUUCUGUUUUUGUGGAGUGAUUCCAUCUUCUCUUGCAUAACAAACAUUCACUUUUCUGAGUCUUCACAGCUAACCGCCUUAGAAUAAUUAGAUGGCUCUUGGUUUGCAUCUAUAUCUUCAGCCACAUUUAAAGUAUAGGUAACUAGAUCAGCCUCAGCAUACUUCUUUAGAGGUUUAAUUUCUCUUUUAGUUCUAGUUUUAGCAAUAGAGUAUUGUGGUGAAAAAGUAACUCUAUUCUGAAUUUUUGUACUGGCUUGAGGAGUAGACUCUGUUGUAGAUUCCGGAUUAAUCUAAUGCUCCACCUGUUUUUGAUUUUCUUUAUUGGAAGAGUCUUUAAGAGAUAAGUUAGGUAGCAUAGCAGUUUCAUCAAAAAUAACAUCUCUGCUAAUCACAACUUUUCUAUUUUUAGGACACCAUAACUUAUACCCUUUUACAUCAGCUUUAUAACCAAGAAAAACACAUUCAAUGGAUCUCGGUUCCAAUUUUCCAUUAUCAACAUGAGCAUACGCAGGAAACUCAAAGAUCUUUAAAUCAGAAUAGUCAGUAGGAUUACCAAACCAUACCUCUUGUGGAGUCUUUUUCUCAAUGGCAACGGAUUGAGAUCGGUUGAUCAAAAAAUAUGCAAUAGAAGAUGCUUCAGCCCAAAACAACUUUAGUAAGUUGGCAUUUGAAAACAUACAUUGAACCUUCUCCAUGAUCGUUCUAUUCAUUCGUUCUACAACGUUGUUUUGCUGUGGAGUAUGACGAACUGUCAAGUGUCUUAAGAUCCCUUCUGACUUGCAUAGUUUAUUUAACUCAUUAGAACAGAGCCCUAAGCCAUUGUCUGUGUGGAGGUAUUUUAUUUGUUUUCUAGUCUGUUUUUUAAUCAUAGUUUUCCAAGGCUUAAAUGCGGAAAACACAUCGCUUUUCUGCUUCAGGAAGAAUGCCUAAACUUUUCUGAAAAAAUCAUUAAUAAAGUUAGUAUAUAAUUAGCUCCACCUCUCGAAGGCACUCUAGAUGGCCCCCAUAGAUCAGAAUGAAUAUACUCCAACGUUCCCUUCGUGUUAUGGAUUCUUCUGGUGAAUCAAACUCUCUUUUACUUUCUAAAAACGCAGUACUCAUAUAAUUUCAGUUUGCAAAUUCCUUGCCCAUCAAGAUGUCCUCUUUUGCUCAAUUCUACCAUGCCAUUCUCACUCAUAUGCCCUAGACCCAUAUGCCAAAGUUUAGUAAUAUCAUCAUCUGACAAGGAAGAGGAAGCGACAACUGCAUCACCAAUAAUAGUAGAACCUUGAAAAACAUAUAACUUACCAUUCUUUCUCUACCCUUUUAUCACAACAAGGGAACCUUUGAAAAUCUUCAAAACCCCACUUUCAACUGUGUAUUUAUACCCUUUUGAAUUAAGAGUACUUAAUGAAAUUAAAUUUCUCUUAAAUUCUAGAAGAUGUCGUACGUCACUAAGUAUUCUGACAACUCCAUCAAAUAUCUUAACUUUAAUUGUUCCAACACAUGUGAUUUUACACGAAGUAUUAUUUCCUAUCAAAUUAACACUUUCAGACACAGUUUCUUAAGUUGUAAACCAAUCCCAAUUAGGACUCAUGUAAAAGGUGCAGCCCGAAUUAAGGAUCCACUCCUCGCUCACUUUAGAAUUGGUGACAGAAGCGACUAAAAGUUCACCAUCGCUAUAGUCUUCUACAACAUCAACUUCACCGAAAUUUUUUGGUUAUUUUCCCUUUUGAUUUGCAACCUCUCUUUUAAUCUUAUUCUGUAGCUUAUAGCACUCAGAUUUAAUGUGCCCUUUCUUCUUGCAGAAGUUACAAGUUUUACAUCUGUUUGAAGAUUUCGAUCUACCCUUAUAUUUAUCGCGAGGAUCCCAUUCCUGUGUCCUUCCACAAUCAUCAUCAGCAUUCCGAUCUUAUCUCCCACAAACAAUGAGACUCUUUUCCUGAGAGUCAGUUUUAACCACAAGAUGCUUCAUCUUAUCAUACGAGGUUAAAGAAUCAUAAACCUCAUCAACUGUGAGAGACUCGCGGCUAUAUAAAAUCGUGUCUCUAAAGGUUGAAUAAGAUGAGGGCAAUGAACAAAGUAGAAUCAACCUUAGAUCUUCCUUAUCAUACUGAACCUCCAUGGCUUCCAAGUUUGAGAGGAUUUCUUUAAACACUGUUAAGUGUUCGUGCACAGAUACAUCUUUCUCCAAACGAUGAGCAUAAAGGCACUGCUUCAUAUGCAGCUUGCUGGUUAGAGUUUUUAACAUACAUAUUUAUUCUAACUUCUUCCAUAAUCCAGCGAUGGUCUUCUCAUUCAUCACAUCUUGCAAAAUUUCAUUAGACAAAUACAGAUGUAACUGUGUUAUUGCCUUUCGAUCAUUGCGCUUCUUCUCUUCCUCCGUCGAUGUCGAAGACAUCUUAUCUACCCCUAGCAGGGCUUCCUCUUAGUCUAUCUGUGCAAGAACUGCUUGUAUCUUUAUCUGUCACAACGUGAAUCUAGGAUUGCGAUCCAACAGCAGAAUUUUAUACUUCAUAGAUGCCAUUACUGUGAUUCAGAUGAACAACCUGAAAGCUUGGAUACCAAUCUGUAAACAUGGAACGUCGGUAAUGACAAUAUAUUGUAAAGAAAAGAGAAAGAAAAAUAAAGAACACACAGAUUUUUACAUGGAAAUCUUUUCAGGAAAAAACCACUUGCAGAGGAGAAGAAAACUCACUAUGUUGAAUUCGAAUGAUUAUAAGAGGAGUAGACUAUGUCUAUUUAUAGGCUUGUAAAACCAUAUUCUAAUAGGAGUGUAGUAAGAUUGAAACACCUUAUUCUAAUCAAUAUCAAAUAGAUAGAGUUUAAUAAUGUUUUAAAAAACCUUAUUCUAAAAUAAAAUAAAAGAAAUGUAUUUUACUUUUAUUUUAUUUUACCACUGUAUUUUAUUUAAAUAAGGAUUUGGGUCACUUAAUUCUAACAACAAAAAAAGGUCUCUCUCCUUCAAGAAACAACACAGAGAAAGUUUGAACUAGCAAGGGACAAUCUUCUAAAACACCGAUUAUCAAAGAUGGUAUUAGCUAAAUAAAAUGACAUGAUUAAACUUCUUCUUCUUAGGUCUAAUGUGCAUUUUCAUUCCAACAUCAAGUUAUGAUUGUAUAAACAAAAGAAUGUGGAAUAAACAAGCAGUAAAAUACUAAAAAUAGUGCCCAAAUUUUCAAGAGUAAAAGCCUACAUCAACUCGCCAGUGAUGGAUGGUGACCUGGUAGACGCCGGAGUGCCGGACGAAAGGUGGCUAGCCUGGUAGAGAUUUUGGGAGAUUUCAAUUCGGGAUUUUGAAGGUUAGGUAUUAUUUUUUUCUAUCGUUUGUUACUUGCUUUAGAGUUUAGACUUUAAGUUUUAGUUUUAGAUUUUUAUUUUUAUUUAUUAAAUUAUUUGUAUUUUUUAUGAUUGGGUUGGGUAAUUGGGUUGGGUACUUGGGUUUAUAUAUAUUAAAUUGGGUUUAUGUUGCAUUGGGUUUGGGUGAAUAGUGGGCCUAUUUAUAUAUUAUAAUUUAUUUAUUAAUUUUUUUAGUUAAACCGAAAAAAUUCGGUUAACCGACAGAUUUUGAACCGAAUUAACCGUUAACCAAAAAUUCAAAAAAUUAUUAACCGACCCCUGACCAAAAAAAUUCGGUUAACCGACCGAUUAACCGAAUUCGGUUGGUUAACUGAAUUUUUUCGGUUUUACCUGAAAUUUGCACACCGCUACUGGCAGGGGUCCCAAUUUCCCCCUAAAAUGGAAAAUUUUUCAUAUAAGCGCUUUAAAUUUUUUACAAUUUAAAUUAGAAAAAAUAAAAUUACACUUUGCCCUCCUAAAAAUGAUAAAAAUUAAUUUAAUAUUUUAAAAAUUAUUAAAAUGAUAAAAUUAUAUUUUUACUAUCAUAAAAAUUAUAAUUUAAUUUCGGUCCCUUAAAAAAUUUUCUAGCUUCAUCUAUAUGAAAUACAAAUAUAUUACAAUAACAAUUCCCACCAAAGCAUCUUACAAAAUAGGACUACAAAAUAUCCUAACAAAAUUUAGGAAAAUUAAUGAAAAUUUCAAGAUAUUCUUUUAAGUCACUCGAUCUAAUUUCCAUAAAAUAGGGAAUUCAAUUUGCAUGAUGAAUUGAAAUUCGAUCAUUUAUGAUUUGUUCCUCCGUUAGAUUAAUAUUCUAAGAUGUGCCAUGAAAGCUUGCAACAGAUUAUGAGUUCAACAUUCAAAUAGAUUUAGCUAAAAUGAUUAUCAGUUCUAAACAUGAUAAAUUAUUGUUUCAGCCUAGCUACAACAUAAGUUGAAACUGCUCUUGUAGCUGAAACCAUAAUUUCUCCAACAGAGGUUUCAUCUGCACCACAUUUAUAGACCAAAAUUUAUGAUUAAACAACUAUAUUUUCCAAAUAAUUUAAAUUUAUUUCAAAUCUACCCGUAAAAGAGCUAAAGGGGUAUAGGCAAUAGGGGCUUUAAUGCAACUAAAAUCAUGUCAAGCAUUUGCAUUGGUAUGUGAACUGGCACCAUUGAAGGAACGUUUGAUUCCUUUGAACAAUAUUGUCUAGCAAGCAUCAGAACCUCCUUUCCAAAACUUUCAAAGCAUAAUUAUAUGUUUUCUCUUUAUUAAAUUUGAUUCUCGAUUUUUUGUUGCUCCUUCUAAUCACAUCUACUAUAAAUUUGCCUUAGUUUAUUGCUAAAAACACAACUUAAAACAAAAGAUUUUAACUAGAAAUCAUAAAUGGGACAGCCACAAAGCAAACCAAGGUUUCUUCAACCAGGGGAUCACAUCUACUGUGAAAGAGAGGGAGGUUUAUAUGAUCACCAUGGUUUGCUUCUAUUUCUUUUCAAUUUUUUAUCCGUAUACCUAGAAGAUCAUAACAUGUAAACACACACAUAAACAUUGGGUGUUUCUGAUUGAGCACUGCAGGAAUAUAUGUGGGGGACGACAUGGUUAUUCAUCUCCAGGGAAAAGCCAAGAAACUUGAGCCGCUACCUGAAUGCCGUAAAUGUAAAGACAAGCGUGUCCAAAAUGGUGAAAUAGCAAAAGUAUGCAUAGAUUGUUUCCUUCGUGGUGAAAAGCCCCGGAUCUAUGACUAUGGAGUUCCCCUUAAUAAAUUCCGUUUCAGAAAACGUGGUACUUGCUGCCCACACUAUUCCAAGCCUCCCCAUGAAGUUAUUAACAAAGCAACUUAUUUCGUUGAAGGGGCAAGCUUUGGCGACUACGAUAUGUUUAAUAACAACUGUGAGAACUUCGCUGUGUAUUGCAAAACAGGCUGUGCCGAUGGUUACCAGAUUGUAGGCUUUCUUGAAAAAGGUAGUCUUGCUACUGCUGCUGUUGCUGCUUCUCUUGGUGGUCCCCCUGGUAUAGUUUUGUGCGCUGCUUCUAUGGCAAUUUAUGGUACUUCGAAAGUGGUCACCGGCCUCAAUUGACACAAUUAGCAAAACAUCAAGCUCCUGGUAACUUCUGCCUGCAACUCAUUAACGGGACUUCAAUUACAUCUUACUGAUAAGUAUGAACCAUGUUAAGAAGAUCUCAUAUCCCAAUAAACUUAAAAGUCAAAGCCAACUAGUGCUGAUAUUCACCUAUAUGCAAAUAUGAAUUAUUUAGCAUCUUUUUUUUUAUAUAAAUACUAAAAAUAUUAUGAGGGUAGAAAUUGCAUAUUUGGUAUAUAAGUCUGUGUUUGAAAACAAUAUAAAAUAAAUAAUAAAAUAUAUGAUUUGAAACUAAUAAUAACAAUACAUAUGCAAAAUGCACAAAAUUAAAAUGAAAAAUUAAUUUAAAUUGUGAGUAAAAAAUUUAAAUAGAUAAAUACAUCAUAUUAAGAAUAUCAAAUGCAAUCGAAUUGCUUAUCAUUGGUAUUGUUAUUUUUCUAUAGCACUUAAAAUGUUAUCGUGUUAAUAUGUUAUCAAAAUGUUAUCAUAUUGGUGAAAAGAAAAUUCAAUAUUAAAUAUUUUUUUUGGAAAAGAUACAAUAUUGAGUUGAUCCGUGACUUUAACUCAAUCAACCAUAUUAUCUAUAUUAGAAAUCUUAUUACAUGCGUAUACGUGUGAAAAUCAUAUAUUUAGAAUACAAAUUUGUGUUUAAAAAUAACACACGAUAUAGUUAAUUUUGGAAUUAAUUAAUAAUAACACAUGCCAUAUGUACAAUACUAAAAUAAAAAAAUUAGAUUAAAUUAUGAGUAAAACGAAAUUUAAAUCACAUCAUAUUAAGAAUACUAAAUGAAUACAAUUGUUUAUCAUUAUUUUGUCAUUAAUCCUGAAUUGAUUUUGUGUUUGUUAACUCGAUUGAUCAACUCAAAAUCUCCAAGAGGGAAGGAGAAUUGGCCUUUAAGAAAAAUGAUGGAAGCAAUAAAAGAAAAUGAAACAAUGAACAUAAGAAUUUAUACUGGUUCUGCCCCAAUUACCUACUCUACUACCUUAACUUUCUACAACUAAGGAUUUACUAAUUUGAUAACCUUGAGGAUAAUGUUUAACCUUAAAAUUUUCCUUAAAAUUUGUACCCAAAAUCUUAAGUUUGUAACUCUCCUAAGGUUUCUAUUCAAACCUUAAGAUUCAACCAUCUUAAAAAGAUACAAAGAAGCAAACAAAGAAAUAAUCCUUACAAUAUCAAAAUGUUUGCCAAUUAAGCUCAAAUAAAUAAGAAUACACUUGAGCUAAAGAAGAACAAUGAAAGCUCAGAAGUGUGUAUAAGAAGAAUAUGAAAGAAUUAAACACUAAGGUUGUUUUGAUUGAUCUUUAAGCUUGAUGAUCUCUCUCUUUAUUGUAGGACAUUUGAAAGAUGGUAUUUAUACCAUCUAAUUCAUUUUCAACCAUUGUGGUUGUUGUGAAAGUUAAUAGAGCCAUUGGAAUGAAAAUACUAGAUCGUUUAAAUUAACCAACAACAAAAGGUAUUGAUACUUUUUCUACGAAUAUUAAUACUAUUAGCAUUUAAUGCCUGAUUCAGUGACCGUUAAAGUUAAUUAAUUUACAUCGAUACCAAAAAUAAUUUAUCGAUAUCUGGUAAAUGGUAUCGACACUUUUUGUAAUUGAUUGAAAACAAAAUGUCAAUUUGAUAUCGAUUUUAUAAAGGGUAUCGAUAUUUUGAAAACUAUAAAAACUUGGCCAAAAAGUCUAUUUUUUGGCAUGGAGUAAUAUUGACUUAUUUUAAAAUAAUUUUAACUUGAUUGAAAAUGUUUAACUCAAUUGAAACCAUUUUAACUUGAUUUUAUCAUUUUACUAAUUUUGUUGAACUUUAACUUUUAUUCAAAAAUAUUUUAACUUGUUAUAUCAAAAUAUAUUAUCAAAUAAAGUUAGGUGUAACAGUGUUCAUUUGUGAUACUAACUCAAUCGACAAAAUGAUUCAUAUACACAAAUAUAUAAAAAUUCAAAACACAAAUAUAUUUAUUAAAGUUUCAAAAUAAAAACUAAUAAUUACUUUAAUUUAAAUGGUAAAUGAAAAAGUUUUAUAUGCAUGGUGUCUUUGGUUAAAUUCUCAUUAUGAACAAAUUUUUAUUGAUCUAUAAAAAUAUGAAAAGACAAAAGCAUCCACAUAAUCAUAUAACUUUACAAAUAAAAUGAUUUUUUUAGUAAUUCCAUUAACUGAGUUGAAACUCGGUUGAUGGGUGACGCUAACUCAAUAAAAUGCUUAAUAAAUAGUAUGGAUACAUAAAACACGAAAUGGGUGGAAAAAAAUUAUUUAAGACCAUAAUGAAGCCAUGCUAUGCUAGUUGGUGUUUCCGACAGUCUUAAAAUUUAAACUUUAAGCCCUCAUAAACCUAAUCCACUUAAUUAAUUAUCAAAUACUAAAAUCUUAUAAAAAUCGAGCAUAAUUAACAAAAAAAAACGCAAAGGAGAAAGCUAGAUGCAACAUUUCACUUCAAACCCAAACGAAGGCCGAAAUAUGAGCAAUUAUUACAUAUGAAGAUGUUACUUUGAAUUUUUUGUUAGGAGAGAGUAAGUAGAGCUUAAGGGGAGCUGGAACUUAAUGUCAAUGAUGCAAGUACUACAUUCAUUACAUGAGAAAAUUGACUUCAUGUUUUUGGGAGAAUUGUCAAUGACUCGGAAGUUGCAUGCAAAUUCAUUAACAAUUUUUAGACGACUUUUUAGGUCAUUGAUUAGGCUAAUAAGAAAAUAUCCAUGACGUACGGUCGGUGCUGUGCGUUUGGAAACUUUGUCUAGGGCUGCUCUAGCUCUCCAUUAAAUCUACUUGCCCGACCUAAAGGCUUGCCCGAAAUAUGGGAAGAUUUAGGUAAAAAUAUAGACCCGAAAAAUGAGUUUGGACAAAAAAAAGCCCAUUUAAAAAAUAGGUCAGGCCUUGGGUAAGGUAUUUUUGGCCUGGGCCCGGCCCGAAUUCACUAAAUGACAAAAAAAUCUGCAUUUUUUUUGUUUUUUAAUGUUAUUUUUUCUUUUUUUUCUCCCUAUUUUGCUACCAUUUUACUAUUAUGUUGCUACUAUUUUGUUGUUAUUGUUUGGAUAUUGUAUAAAACUUAUUUUAUUGUUAAUUUUGUUAAUAUUUUAAAGGCAUUUGUUAAUUUUUUUAUUAUUUUAGAGGCAUUUGCUUGUUAAGUUGCAUCUAUCUUAGUGUUAUUUAAGUCUACAUAUUUUUUUAAAAUUUAUUUUCAAUUCGUUCGGAAAUAUUUAUUUUGAUGUUUUUAGAAUUUUUGAUGUAUUAUAUAUAUUUAAAAAUAAUAUAAAAAAUUAAUACGACGGGUCGGGCCAGCCCGGGUUUUAGCAUUUUUAUUCGGGUCGGACUUGGAUAAAAUUUUAGGCCUGGCCCGAGCCCAAUAAACGAGCAUGAAUUUUAGUUGAGCCCGACUCGAACCCGGCCUGGCCCGGCCCAUGAGCACCUCUACUCUCCAUAUAAUUAUUUUUAGAUAUGUGUGCUUGUAACGACAUGUAAUAGUAAUAUUAAUAAGGGAUGAAUCUCAAAAUUAUAUAUAAAUUUUAAUUUAAUGUGUAAUUAUAUAUAAAUUUUAAUUUAGUGUAAUUGGACACGUGAAACUCUUUAUUUGAAAGGUAAAUUCAUUAAUUUAUUAAAUGAAUGGAAUCAUACAAUUCAGGGAAAAAAAUAACAAACACUCGUCGCAGAUGGUAAAAAAUAAGCUCCAUCAACACAACCAAGGUUUUAGCUUCAAUAUCAAUAAAACAUCAUGACACAUUGACAAUUAGCUUUGUAAUAAUUCAAAUACGACAUGUCUGUAGUGCUUGCAAAUACUUAAUACGAUAAAGAAAUCAGCCCAAAUGAUCCAAAGCAGCAAAAAUCGACAAAAGAAUCGAGCAUUCACCAAACUAGAGAGGAUGACAACAAAACCAUCCCUAAAAUCACUUGUAAAACUAAGGAUACAUGCAUAAGUAAGACUAAAAAAUGUUCUAUAAGAGCAUAUAAAAACUUCUAAAACUGAAAAUUUAUUAAACAAUUGAAAUACAAACAAAAAUAUAUAUAAAACUUAAGACAGCACGGAUCCAAAUUGACUCAUGACAUAAUUUAUUAUUUUGAAAACUAUUGAUGACUGGUGGAGUUUUAGCGAACGACAUACGUCGUCAUCUACCCGUCACAACUUGUGAAAACAACAAAAAUACCCACAAAAUAAAUUUGCAAACUGAAAAGAGAGCAGUCAUGUGAAGUGAAUGAAAAGAAGAAAGAAAGAAAAGGGUUGGUGGGAGGAGAAAAAGGCAAGCAAUAGCCAGUUUCACUGGGCAAAACAAAAUAUAAGAAACAAACGGCUUGGAGAAAAAACUAUACACGUGAAACUAUAAUUAUUGUUCAAAUAUAUACUUAAAACUUUAGUUUUGAUUUAAUCAUACACAUUUAAAGUAAUAAAUAUAUUAAUUUAUUUUUAUAUUGGACAAAUAUAAUUAUUUAUAUACACAAUAAUAUUAUAUCAAUAAUUAUUUUAAUAACUUAUAAGAAUUGAAUCAAAUAAGAAAUUACAUAAAAUUAAAAUUCAUAUAUAUAAUUGCAAAUGUAACUUUGAAUCGGAAUAAUAACAGUCAUACAACGUGCGGUUGAAAAUCCAGUUUGAUUUUGUUGAAACUAUAAACUCGUUUUCCCUCAAGAACAAGAAAUUAUAAUCCAAUUUAAUUGUUAUUGACGUUGUAAAGAAAGCGAGGAAAAAGAAAAAGAAAUACGAAGCCAAGCAAUGGAACUGGGUAACCAAAAAUAACAUUAAAAAGAAUGAAAAAGAAGGGAAGUUUGGAAACGCAAAAAGCCAAAGAAAAAAAUAUAAAAACCAAAAACUUUAAUUUGUAUUGUUUUCUUGUUUACACAAUUAAUAACGGAUUGCAUGAGAUCAGAGCCAAAAUUUAGUGAUUUAACUUGCUAACAUUACUGGUUAAAUGAUGAUCGGAGCUUCGGGAACCUUGAUAUUCGAUUUAUAGCUGCUGGAUUGCAUCAGAGCCACUGGUAAGGAAUGUCAGCCGCCAAGAGCAAGAACAUGUAGUUCAGUUCACUUGGUUGAUAUGGUCGUCCAGAAGGUCUAGAUUCAAAUCUCGCUAUUUGCAAUUUAUUCCUAGGGCAAGAGAAGAUCUUACUGUGGGACUGUUGCAGGAUUGAAGGUUGAAGAUUGAGAUUUUAAGUGGCAAGUUGAAAUGCUGACAUUUCAUUGUGUUGUUUUAAGGAUGAUUCAACCCCUGCAAGUGCAAAUUGUCCAAUAUCAUGUCCUUCAAUUGCCUCAAAUCCCUUCUCUAAGCCAACAGCAAAC